rnacentral:rRNA from 1 species
UACGGAGGGGGCAAGCGUUGUUCGGAAUUACUGGGCGUAAAGGGCGCGUAGGCGGCCAGUUGCGUCGGGUGUGAAAGCCCCAGGCUCAACCUGGGAGGUUCACUUGAUACGGGCUGGCUGGAAUCCGGGAGAGGAUGGUGGAAUUCCCAGUGUAGAGGUGAAAUUCGUAGAUAUUGGGAAGAACACCGAUGGCGAAGGCAGCCAUCUGGACCGGGAUUGACGCUGAGGCGCGAAAGCGUCGGGAGCAGACAGG